rnacentral:rRNA from 1 species
GGCACGCCUAACACAUGCAAGUCGAACGAAGUAGCAAUACUUAGUGGCGAACGGGUGAGUAUAAUGUGGGUAUCUGCCUUUUGGUUUGGAAUAACACGGGGAAACUUGUGCUAAUACCGGAUAAGCCUUCACAGGGAAAGUUUUAACGCCGAAAGAUGAGCCUGCACUUGAUUAGCUAGUUGGUAAGGUAAUGGCUUACCAAGGCUACGAUCAAUAGCUGAUCUGAGAGGAUGAUCAGCCACAUUGGGACUGAGACACGGCCCAAACUCCUACGGGAGGCAGCAGUGGGGAAUCUUGCACAAUGGGGGAAACCCUGAUGCAGCGAUGCCGCGUGAGUGAAGAAGGCCUUUGGGUUGUAAAGCUCUUUCGUCGGGGAAGAAAAUGACUGUACCCGAAUAAGAAGGUCCGGCUAACUUCGUGCCAGCAGCCGCGGUAAUACGAAGGGACCUAGCGUAGUUCGGAAUUACUGGGCUUAAAGAGCUCGUAGGUGGUUAGAAAAGUUGGUGGUGAAAUCCCAAGGCUUAACCUUGGAACUGCCAUCAAAACUUUUUAACUAGAGUGUGAUAGAGGAAAGUGGAAUUUCUAGUGUAGAGGUGAAAUUCGUAGAUAUUAGAAAGAACACCGAUUGCGAAGGCAACUUUCUGGAUCACUACUGACACUGAGGAGCGAAAGCAUGGGUAGCGAAGAGGAUUAGAUACCCUCGUAGUCCAUGCUGUAAACGAUGUGUGCUAGACGUUGGAAAUUUAUUUUUCAGUGUCGCAGCAAAAGCGUUAAGCACACCGCCUGGGGAGUACG